GAAUUUCAGUGCUGGUUGUGAAACAGCAGUGUCGAACAUAGUGAUGGCUAUAACAGUGCUAAUAUCACUUGAAUUUUGCACUAGGCUAUUGUACUUCACUCCAGUAGCCAUAUUAGCUUCUAUUAUUCUGUCUGCUUUGCCUGGACUCAUCAACAUAAGUGAAGCAAAAUACAUAUGGAAAAUUGAUAAGAUGGAUUUUCUUGCUUGUGCUGCUGCUUUUCUUGGUGUUCUUUUUGUAUCUGUUGAGAUUGGCCUUCUACUUGCGGUUGGUAUAUCAUUUGCAAAGAUAA
rnacentral:misc_RNA from 1 species